AACGCUCAGAAAUUUACUUUUUUCAUUCUUUUCCGAUUGCGUGAUUUUGUUAGUUGGUUCAUGUUAUAGCAGCAUACAGAUUCCACGAGCAGUUUUUGGAUUUUGGUGCUGGAGUACCUGGCACAUUCAACAUACUCUGCUAUCAUGAUUCAAUAAUUAUUGAAUCAUGCUCUGCUAUUACCUGAAUAAUGAGCCUUCAUUUCUAUUGAACGUUUGCGAACAUUGGUCGUUAUUUGGGUAAAUUUUCAAUUUUAUUCAAAAAAUCUUAACAUCUUCGUUUGGGAUUGCAGCAAAAGGAAUACGCAAGCGAUAGAAACUGCGCUGGAAAACUAAUUCAAAGAUUUUGGUAGCAAUUUACACAAUUGGAUACAAGUGAGAAGAGUUAUGCUCAUACAUAAAUUUAAAGCGUGUGAAGUGGAAAUGUAUGUACAUAUGUAUAUGUGUAAACCAAAGCAUUGAUCAGGUAGGAGAGAAAAAUAAUUUAAAGAAAAGUGUACGAGAAUUGGAUUUAGGCAAUGGCUUCUAGAUUCAACAGGACAAUAAUCCGCAGCACUUUGUCAAAAUAGUGCAAUUGCUAAUUGAGAAUUUAUUGGCUGAUCUUCAAAAAAAUAUAAGGAAGCAUAUCACGCCGAAAAAUGAACCCUACAGAUUCUUAUUUUUGUAUACGUAAACAACACACGUCGAUUCGACGAGUAAUGUAAAUCUAGCCGCUAUCCUUGAAGAAUGGGGGAAAUAAAGGAAAAUCACAUAAAACUCACUAAACCACGCAAAAUAUACUGCUAGAGGUAAUGAAAUAAAAAGGUAUGCAGAUUAGAUACUAAAAUUAGUUUUAAGGAAGUUUUAGUUAAAUGCUAUUAAGAAUGCCGAAUACUUUUGUCCAACUCUAAACUAACUUGCCUUAAUCCAUACAUACAUACUAUGUGAAAUUAUUUAGUUUAAAUGGUUCGAACUAAUUACAUACAUAUCCCGUUUUUUCCCUGAUAUGUGGCGCUUCAUUCUAUUUUUGCAGAAAAAUAUAUUUGUGGCAUUUUGCUCCCGUUUUAGAUAUUU